UGCCCGCUGGUUGUCUAGGAGGCUAUUUGAGGAGAGUGAACAUUUGUCAGUAGUUGACAUGUACUAGUCUGCCAAGGGGAGUCAUCCAGAGGAAGAGGAUUUGAGGAGGUGGACUGUGGAGCCCAGGAGGGAGUAAGAACAUAUUGCAGACAGGUCUUGUUCCCACCACCUCCAGUGGAUUCACAAGGAAGCCUCAACUCCUGCUGGGGAUCUUGUUAGUCCAUGGGAAUCACUCCUGACUGUCUUCUUUCAUAAUCUGUAUUGGUGGGCCUGACUUCAGGGUUUUUAGGAUAUUCUGUCAUGCUCACUCCAGUUCCCUUUCAGACUGUCUGGAAGGGAGUCAUUUGGCACUCAAAAUAGCUUCUUUCCCUCCUUACUUUUUUUAUCUUAUCUUUUCUCCUUCUCCACUCCUCCCUUCCUAUUGACUCAAAUUGACUGUCAUUAUUUUGGGCAAUGUAUUUAAGUCAUCCGACUGACUUUGAGAAAAAAGGGACCUGUGGAGGAAAGAUAAGGAAGUAAAGGAGAGAGAGAAGAGACAGGCAGUAUAUUUUGAAUUUUGAAGCUUUCUAAACAAUUUUUGUACUUUGCCUUCCUCAUGAGGGUACUCAAGUCAAUAAAUGUUAAUAAGUGUUAUUUGAUUGACUUUCUGACUACCUUCCUUUUCCCACAGAGUUAAACAGAAGACAGGCUUCUGGAAGAAAAAAAUUUGACACCUCUUUGCCUGAUGGUACCCUUGCCCCAUCAGAUGACUCCUCGGUGUCCACAAUAACUGCCAACAAUCCUUCAGGCUAUAAACACCAAAUGAGCUUCCCUUGCUUCAGAAACAUAUCAUGGAGCUCUUACUACAAGAACUUCACACUCAGCUUCACUAUUACCAACAUGUUUUACACAACAAAGAUGAAUCAAAAGGACUCCAGAACAUUCGAGGCUGCUGAGCAUAUCCUGCAAAUCUUGGUGAGAUUCUACUGCCAUUUCCUUCUACCUCCUCUGUCUUCUGUCCCAUGCUACCUUCCUUAGCCCUGUGUAUUUAGCCUUGCCCUAGCCAGGCACACAGAAGUUCCCUUCUCUUCUUUUGUUUCCAGCUCAAGGUAUUGUUUGGAAGCAGCAGGAUUGGCUCUCAGUAUUCUGGAUGCAGUGACCUUUCACUGAGGUGAGAAUCCUUCAAGACAUCAUCAGCUCAGAUAUUAGGGACCAGCAAUUUCCAUUUCACUCAGAUGAUGCCCAGGCUGGUUUCUUCUUCAGCUUCUUAAUAGAAAUUCCUUCUUUCCCAAGCUGUAAUGGAUAAAAUCUUCCAACCAAGAAGCCUUUAAAAUAUUUUACACUCCUUAUACUCUUUCUCAGGUAGAAAAAUAUCCUUUCCCCAUUACUCUUUCCAUAGAUAAGUUUGCAACUGUUUUCACUUUAUAACGCCACAUGAAAGGAAUAACAUAGGAGGCACCAAUUGAGUGCUUAGAAAAUGAUUGAUUAAUACAUAUCAACAUUACCUUUCUCUAGAAUUAUAU
rnacentral:lncRNA from 1 species